UACGUAGGGUGCAGGCGUUAAUCGGAAUUACUGGGCGUAGAGCGUGCGCAGGCGGUUUGCUAAGACAGGUGUGAAAUCCCCGGGCUUAACUUGGGAAUUGCGCUCGAAACUACGUGGCUGGAGUGUGGCAGAGGAAGGUGGAAUUCCAGGUGUAGCGGUGAAAUGCGCAGAUAUCAGGAGGAACACCGGUGGCGAAGGCGGGUCUCUGGGCCGAUGACUGACGCUGAGGAGCGAAAGCGUGGGGAGCGAA
rnacentral:rRNA from 1 species